UACGUAGGGCGCGAGCGUUGUCCGGAUUCAUUGGGCGUAAAGGGCGCGUAGGCUGCGGGGCAAGUCGGGUGUGAAAUCUCAGAGCUCAACUCUGAAACUGCACUCGAUACUGCUUUGCUUGAGGACUGGAGAGGAGAUUGGAAUUCACGGUGUAGCAGUGAAAUGCGUAGAUAUCGUGAGGAAGACCAGUGGCGAAGGCGGAUCUCUGGACAGUUCCUGACGCUGAGGCGCGAAGGCCAGGGGAGCAAACGGG
rnacentral:rRNA from 1 species